rnacentral:misc_RNA from 1 species
AACGCACAUUGCGCCCCUUGGUAUUCCGAGGGGCAUGCCUGUUCGAGCGUCAUUAUAACCCCUCAAGCUCAGCUUGGUGUUGGGGCCUGCUGUACUGGCAGCCCUUAAAAUCAGUGGCGGUGCCAUCUGGCUCUAAGCGUAGUAAUUCUUCUCGCUAUGGAGUCCUGGUGGAUGCUUGCCAUCAACCCUAAAUUUUCUAUGGUUGACCUCGGAUCAGGUAGGGAUACCCGCUGAACUUAA